UGGGGAAUCUUGCACAAUGGGCGAAAGCCUGAUGCAGCAACGCCGCGUGCGGGAAGAAGGCCCUCGGGUUGUAAACCGCUUUCAGAAGGAACGAAACUGACGGUACUUUCAGAAGAAGGUGCGGCCAACUACGUGCCAGCAGCCGCGGUGACACGUAGGCACCAAGCGUUGUCCGGAUUUAUUGGGCGUAAAGAGCUCGUAGGCGGUUCAGUAAGUCGGGUGUGAAAACUUUGGGCUUAACCCAAAGCGUGCAUCCGAUACUGCUGUGACUUGAGUACGGUAGGGGAGCGGGGAAUUCCUAGUGUAGCGGUGAAAUGCGCAGAUAUUAGGAGGAACACCGGUGGCGAAGGCGCCGCUCUGGGCCGAAACUGGCGCUGAGGAGCGAAAGCAUGGGUAGCAAACAGGAUUAGAUACCCCCGUAGUCCCUGAGCGGGCUGGCAAGGCGCAU
rnacentral:rRNA from 1 species